CUCCAGGUGGCUCUUUAUGAGAGCAAUGCAGAAGUGAGGGCAGUAAACAACCUUACAAAGGGAAGCCUUCCGGUGCAGGUGAAAGCAAGAAAUACAGCUCCAUCGCAUCCAGCGAGUAUAUUAAAGGCAGUUUCAUCUGUUACCAGAGCUCUAGAACUAUUUGUGAAACCUGAAGAGCCGGAUGGAGAGAAUUGCUAUAAAUGUAGCGAGUUCGUCUUAGCCUGCGGAUCCUAGAAAGCAACACGCAGUGUAUUCAGGAUUCUCAUAACUGAUAUCUGAGGAAGAGAAAGAACUGUAAUAGCACCUCACAUCUGAAUUGCAUGGUCCUUCCUUAAUGUGCUCUUUGAGGUGUGAUUGGUUCAGUCACACAUAAAGCCAGAAUUUUCCAUCUUUUUGUGAGUUUAAAAGGAAAGGCCUUACACAUGUACAGUACUUUUUCCAUUGCUGAUAACUGUUAUUAGUCUUAUAUAUAACUCAUUUUUAAUUUUUUUUUAUAUUUUAUAACUUAUUUCUUUAAGUUUUUUGGAAUUGUCAUUUUCUUUUAAUUUUCUACCACAAAUUCUUCCAAUAAAGACUAAACUAAAACUAAGACCA
rnacentral:lncRNA from 1 species